CCCUUAGAUGUUCUGGGCCGCACGCGCGCUACACUGAUGCAUUCAACGAGUCUAAAACCUGCUCUGAUAGGGGUGGGUAAUCUUUUGAAUGUGCAUCGUGAUUGGGAUAGAUGAUUGCAAUUUUUCAUCUUCAACGAGGAAUGCCUAGUAAACGCAAGUCAUCAGCUUGCAUUGAUUACGUCCCUGCCCUCUGUACACACCGCCCGUCGCUCCUACCGAUUGAAUGAUCCGAUGAAUAUCAUGGAUUGAGGAUGCAAGUAGGUUAGCCUAUCUUCAUCUUCGAGAAGUGAAGUAAAUCUUAUCAUUUAGAGGAAGGAGAAGUCGUAACA
rnacentral:rRNA from 1 species